AUCUGGGCGGCGGAAUUCAGGAUGGCUGGCUCGUUCGGCCGUUUGAUGUUUCCGUCGCCGUUGCAGACGUCGCGACCUGUUCGUCGUCGGUCCUUGCUCGGAGGAAUCGCGAUCGAGUUCGUUGCGGGGUGCGUUUCGGCGUGUCUCGCGGCGAAGACGCGGCUCUCUGGCUGACGACGGACAGUAAGCAACGGUGGCCGGCGCGGUGUCUCGCACUCCGCGUCCGGUGCCGGUCAGCGACGAUUUCUUCGGGCCUCUUUCCGACCCGUCUUGAAACACGGACCAAGGAGUCUAACAUGCGCGCGAGUCGCGGGGUGUCGAGCGUGCUACGGUGCGCUCGUUACUUCCGAAACCCGUACGUUGAAGGCGUAAUGAAAGUGAACAGGGAAGAUGGCGUUCCGAGUCCACGAACCGUGAUCGAGUAUCGCGGCCGGGCGCCCGCACUCCCGGGGCGUCUCAAUGGCUCGUCGCGGAUGCGGACGGUCGCCUUUCGGGGCGGCCGUCGGUCUGCGACGGACCGA
rnacentral:rRNA from 1 species